rnacentral:rRNA from 1 species
AAGCGGCAAGAGCUCAAAUUUGAAAUCUGGCACCUUUGGUGUCCGAGUUGUAAUUUGAAGAUUGUAUUUUUGGAAGACUUCUCGCAUAAGUUCCUUGGAAUAGGACGUCAUAGAGGGUGAGAAUCCCGUAUGGUGUGAAUCGUCUUCCUCUGUAAAAUACUUUCGAAGAGUCGAGUUGUUUGGGAAUGCAGCUCUAAGUGGGUGGUAAAUUCCAUCUAAAGCUAAAUAUUGGCGAGAGACCGAUAGCGAACAAGUACAGUGAUGGAAAGAUGAAAAGAACUUUGAAAAGAGAGUGAAAAAGUACGUGAAAUUGUUGAAAAGGAAGGGCUUGAGAUCAGACUUGGCGUAUUGUGAUCAGCUUCCUCUCGGGGUUGUGCACUCGCAGUACGCUGGGCCAGUAUCGAUUUUGGCGGUGAGAUAAUGGCAUUGGAAUGUGGCUCUUCGGAGUGUUAUAGCCUUUGUUGAUAUCACCAGCCGGGAUCGAGGACCGCGCUUUUAGCUAGGAUACUGGCGUAAUGAUCUUAAGCCACCCGUCUUGAAACACGGACCAAGGAGUCUAACGUUUAUGCGAGUGUUUGGGUGUAAAACCCGUACGCGUAAUGAAAGUGAACGUAGGUGAGAGCCCUCACGGGUGCAUCAUCGACCGAUCCUGAUGUUUUCAGAUGGAUUUGAGUAUGAGCAUAAAUAUUGGGACCCGAAAGAUGGUGAACUAUGCCUGAAUAGAGUGAAGCCAGAGGAAACUCUGGUGGAGGCUCGUAGCGGUUCUGACGUGCAAAUCGAUCGUCAAAUUUGGGUAUAGGGGCGAAAGACUAAUCGAACCAUCUAGUAGCUGGUUCCUGCCGAAGUUUCCCUCAGGAUAGCAGAAGCUCGUAUCAGUUUUAUGAGGUAAAGCGAAUGAUUAGAAGUAUUGGGGUUGAAACGACCUUAACUUAUUCUCAAACUUUAAAUAUGUAAGAAGUCCUUGUUACUUAAUUGAACGUGGACAUUUGAAUGGAGAGCUUUUAGUGGGCCAUAUUUGGUAAGCAGAUCUGGCGAUGAGGGAUGCUCCUAACGUGAGGUUAAAGUGCCGAAAUGUACGCUCAUCAGAUCCCAAAAAAGGUGUUAGUUCAUCUAGACAGCCGGACGGUGGCCAUGGAAGUCGGAAUCCGCUAAGGAGUGUGUAACAACUCACCGGCCGAAUGAACUAGCCCUGAAAAUGGAUGGCGCUAAGCGUAUUACUUAUACCUCACCGCUACGGUUGUAUUGAUGCUGUAGCGUGUAGGCAGGCG